GGGCCUCUAGCUCAAUGGUAGAGCUCCGGACUUUUAAUCCGUAGGUUGUGGGUUCGAAUCCCACGGGGCCUACCC
rnacentral:tRNA from 1 species